rnacentral:rRNA from 1 species
CAGUCGCCACGGUAAUACGUAGGUGGCAAGCGUUGUCCGGAAUUAUUGGGCGUAAAGGGCUCGCAGGCGGUUUCUUAAGUCUGAUGUGAAAGCCCCCGGCUCAACCGGGGAGGGUCAUUGGAAACUGGGAAACUUGAGUGCAGAAGAGGAGAGUGGAAUUCCACGUGUAGCGGUGAAAUGCGUAGAGAUGUGGAGGAACACCAGUGGCGAAGGCGACUCUCUGGUCUGUAACUGACGCUGAGGAGCGAAAGCGUGGGGAGCGAACAGGAUUAGAGACCCCGGUAGUCCCUGUCUCUUAUAC